GAACGCUGGCGGCGUGCCUAAUACAUGCAAGUCGAACGAAUCUCUUCGGAGAUGAGUGGCGAACGGGUGAGUAAUACAUAGGUAACCUGCCCCUGUGCGGGGGAUAACAGGAGGAAACUCCUGCUAAUACCGCAUAGCCAUGAGCACCGCAUGGAGCUCAUGCCAAAUAUCCUUUAUGGGAUAGCGCAGGGAUGGACCUAUGGCGCAUUAGCUUGUUGGCGGGGCAACGGCCCACCAAGGCAACGAUGCGUAGCCGGCCUGAGAGGGCGGACGGCCACAUUGGGACUGAGACACGGCCCAGACUCCUACGGGAGGCAGCAGUAGGGAAUUUUCGGCAAUGGGGGAAACCCUGACCGAGCAACGCCGCGUGAGCGAAGAAGGCCUUCGGGUCGUAAAGCUCUGUUGUAAAGGAAGAACGGCGCAUACAGGAAAUGGUAUGCGAGUGACGGUACUUUACCAGAAAGCCACGGCUAACUACGUGCCAGCAGCCGCGGUAAUACGUAGGUGGCGAGCGUUAUCCGGAAUCAUUGGGCGUAAAGAGGGAGCAGGCGGCCGCAAGGGUCUGUGGUGAAAGACCGAAGCUAAACUUCGGUAAGCCAUGGAAACCGGGCGGCUAGAGUGCGGAAGAGGAUCGUGGAAUUCCAUGUGUAGCGGUGAAAUGCGUAGAUAUAUGGAGGAACACCAGUGGCGAAGGCGACGGUCUGGGCCGCAACUGACGCUCAUUCCCGAAAGCGUGGGGAGCAAAUAGGAUUAGAUACCCUAGUAGUCCACGCCGUAAACGAUGGUCACUAAGUGUCGGGGGUCAAACCCCGGUGCUGCAGUCAACGCAAUAAGUGACCCGCCUGAGUAGUACGUUCGCAAGAAUGAAACUCAAAGGAAUUGACGGAA
rnacentral:rRNA from 1 species